rnacentral:rRNA from 1 species
UACGUAGGGGGCUAGCGUUGUCCGGAAUCAUUGGGCGUAAAGAGCGUGUAGGCGGCUAUACAGGUCCGCUGUGAAAACUCGAGGCUCAACCUCGAGACGUCGGUGGAAACCGUAUGGCUAGAGUCCGGAAGAGGAGAGUGGAAUUCCUGGUGUAGCGGUGAAAUGCGCAGAUAUCAGGAAGAACACCCGUGGCGAAGGCGGCUCUCUGGGACGGUACUGACGCUGAGACGCGAAAGCGUGGGGAGCGAACAGG